rnacentral:rRNA from 1 species
UACAGAGGUCCCGAGCGUUGUUCGGAUUCACUGGGCGUAAAGGGUGCGUAGGUGGCUGGGUAAGUUUGAUGUGAAGGCUCAGGGCUUAACCCUGAAAUGGCAUUGAAUACUGCCUGGCUGGAGGUUUGGAGGGGGGACUGGAAUUCUUGGUGUAGCAGUGAAAUGCGUAGAUAUCAAGAGGAACACCAGUGGCGAAGGCGAGUCCCUGGACAACACCUGACACUGAGGCACGAAAGCCGGGGGAGCAAACAGG